AGCAUCUGAGUAGCUGGGACAACAGGCGCCACACCACCACGCCCGGCAUUGAUAAACCUUGGCUGUUGCUUCAAAUAUAAAUGAUUCUAGAACAUCAGAAUAACUAGUAACAAUAAGAUUACUCAAAUAAGCACAUAAAAUCAAAGAAG
rnacentral:lncRNA from 1 species